CAGCUCCCUGGAUCUCCUCGGGUGCUGAUGGGGAAAAAUGGUGCCUGAAUGCUUGGGGAAGCAGGGACCCAACACUGUGAGUGCUGUAUUUCCAUGGGGAUGACAGAUGUACAUUAAAAAUACCCUGAGAUAAAUGGCAGCAUUUCUCAUGGGUCCUUGCCACGUGUACAAAUCCGUGAUGGGAUGACUUUCCUGCUCAUGAAGAUGAAGGGCAAGAAGUGCUUUGGACUGGGGUCCUACACUAAUCCACACCAUCACACCCAUCAGCCAUAUUGCUCUGCUCAAUCUGGACCCAGAGGCAUGGCAAGAAUUUUGUAUAGGAGAAUUAUUUCAACUACGAUUUACUUAAGAAGCCUUAUCUUCUUCAGAGCAGCUCAGCCCACACCACGCAGCACAAUCACAUGCAAAGGCAGAGGCACGAGCAGCACAGUGCUCUUGCAGAGCAGAACCAGUGCACCAGACAGCCUUGCUUCAUGA
rnacentral:lncRNA from 1 species